GGAGGCAUGGCUCAGCAGUAAAGCACCUGCCUAGCAAGUGUGAAAUCCUGAGUUCAAACCCCAGUAUCACCA
rnacentral:tRNA from 1 species